rnacentral:rRNA from 1 species
UUUUAGAAUAUAAUUUAAGGUYUAAUYUGCUCAAUGAUUUAUUUAAAUAGCUGCAGUAUUUUAACUGUACAAAGGUAGCAUAAUCAAUAGUUUUUUAAUUGAAAGCUAGAAUGAAAGAUUUGAUGAAAUAAAUAUUGUUUCAAAUUUAAUAAAAUUAGAAUUUUUUUUUUAGUUAAAAUACUAAAAUUAUUUUAAAAGACGAGAAGACCCUAUAGAUUUUUAUAAUUUUUUUAAAUAAAAAAAUUAUAUAAAAAAAUUAUUUGAUUGGGGAAAUUAUUAAAUUUAAUAAAUUUUAAUUAUUUUAGACAAAAAUUAUUGAGUUAAUGAUCUUAUUUUUUAGAUUUUUAGAAUAAAAUACCUUAGGGAUAACAGCGUAAUUUUUUUAUAAAGAUCAUAUUAAUAAAAAAGUUUGCGACCUCGAUGUUGAAUUAAGAUAAAAUUUUAAUGAAGAUGUUAAAAAUUUUUAGYCUGUUCGACUAUUAAAAUCUUACG